rnacentral:rRNA from 1 species
UACGAAGGGGGCGAGCGUUGUUCGGAUUUACUGGGCGUAAAGGGCGCGCAGGCGGCUCAUUUUGUCAGGCGUGAAAGCCCCGGGCUUAACCUGGGAACUGCGCUUGAUACGGAUGGGCUAGAGUUCGGGAGAGGAGAGUGGAAUUCCCAGUGUAGAGGUGAAAUUCGUAGAUAUUGGGAAGAACACCGGUGGCGAAGGCGGCUCACUGGCCCAUUACUGACGCUGAGGCACGAAAGCGUGGGGAGCAAACAGG